CGGAUAUGUCAUUUUCUACUAUUAAUAAAUAAAUCGUCCAUUAUAAGUUUAAAAUGAUACCUACUAACUCAAUUAUAUUCAAUAGAACUCUAGCUAUAAAUAUUUAGAACCCUAACUAUAAAUGUAUUAGUUAGUUUUCUCGGUACAUAACUUAAUAUAUUUGCUAUUUUAAUUAAUACCAUAAAGAUGUUUUCAAAUAAGGUGUUUUUAAUUACAUAAGCAAAAAUUUCUCAUCAAUAGACAAGUUUCUCUCACCCAUGAAUAAGAAUUUUUAUUCUUGGUUAUGUCUUUUAUUCAUCUUAGGCCAAAAUCUUUUUAGGCAAGUGCCACCCACUUUAAUGGGUAAGAGCUUUUUUCUUCAUAAUGGACAAAAGUUAUUUCUUAGUGGGAAAAACCAAAUAACCUCUUCACAAAAUUCCUAUUUAUAGUGUUAGUUACAUCAAUUCUAAUCUAAUUAAGACUUAAUUCUAUUUGGGAAUAACACUAAAAUAAGAAUUUUA
rnacentral:misc_RNA from 1 species